GGGCUUGGGCGUUGUGACGUCAUUACUUGGCGGGGCCGCCACGUUGAUAGCCUCCUUUACUGCUACUCGGACUACUGCGCAGUGUUUAGACAUACUCCCUCUCAUCCGUGUGUCUUAAUUUAAUUAAUUAAAAAUCUAUUUCAACCAUGGUAAACCGUUGCUGUAUUGUGGGGUGUAAUAGCGCAACACAUAAUCUCCAUGGGGAAAAUAAAAUGAGAAUGGAUUAAUUUUACACCGCUUUCCUGCUUGUAGGCGCGACCACGGAGAGUCGGAGACCAUAACAUCUGAAUAUUAAUUUAUAUAGCUUAAGUCAACAUUGAGAAUAAGGGAAAUUUCUCGGGUUACACAUCCAAAAUACGGGAAAUUUCAACAUUCAUCUUUUUGUUGCUAUCCCUCUGCUGACAGUAAAAACGCAGCUUACCUUUGUCCAGAUUACUGUAACGUAUACUGUUUGCCGGUUUUAUGAUCUGCAACUCCUGAACAUAUCCAUUUGUGAACUGCACAUGAGACUCCAAUGACUUGUAGCUUCAGAACUGUUCUGAAGUGUAGGCGCUCAUAAAACAAACAAUGUAGCCGAGGAUAUCUGUAAUGCAAAAGUGCGGCAGCAAGUAAUCAUCGGUGCUCCACUCUUUGUUGGGAAUUUCAUAUGGAUCCAAACCAUUAAUAGUGCCGAUUUUGUGCACAUACCGGUCCCUGACAUCCCUAUUUUGUGUAUCCCUUUAAAUCCCACAACCCUUUCGCGAUUUUACCAUCUUUUCUCUUUCUCCCAACUCUGCUUCUUCUUGUUCGACUUGCUGUAUGUUUACAUUCGCGAGGCUAUCAACAGGUCCGCCACGUCCCAGAAUGCAACGCGGCACCCAAGCCCUAUU